rnacentral:lncRNA from 1 species
AGCCGAGAUCACAGCACCAUCCGUACAUCCACGGUAAAAUGCGGAGUCAGAGAUGGACCAGAACGGGGUCGCGCGCUAAAACCGGAACCCCGUCCCGCUCCUCCUCGACAACGACUACCACUACCAGUCUACUACUACUAUGUACACGCGGCGCCGGCGAGUUCCUCGUCCCCGCGGCGGCGGCCUACUGGCCCUAGGCGGAGCGCGCGAGACGGGACGCGAUGGCGGAGUGGUACAUGGCGUCGUGGAACGACUCCGUCUGCGCCAUCCGCGCCCGCAGCUCGCGGGCCUUCUCCUCCGUCAGCCCCCCCACGAACUGCCUCCGGGCCGCCGCCGCGCCGUCCUGCGCCACCGCCACCACCGGCGCCGGGGCCUCCAGGUAGUCGGCCUUCCCCGACCACCCCACCAGCGGCGCCCACCACUUGCCGCCGCCCUCCGCCGACCCGGCGGCCGCGCGGACCACCCCGGCUCCUGCCGCGGCGCCGCGGGGCCGGAAGACGGCUGCGCCACCCGCCGGGGUGGCGGGGAACGAGACGGCGUGUGAGGACGGUGCCAUCGCCAUUGGAUCUGUGUUGGUUGUUUCUCUUGCCCUGACCGGGUGCAGUGCAGUUGCUUGAUUGCUUUUUGCUUGAAGGGAAACGAGGAUGGAUGGAU